rnacentral:rRNA from 1 species
GUACUGUGCAAACGUUAUUCGGAAUCACUGGGCUUAAAGGGUGCGUAGGCGGUUGAUUAAGUAGGGUGUGAAAGCUCUCGGCCUAACCGAGGAAUUGCGCUCUAAACUGAUCAACUUGAGUGAGAUAGGGGUGUGCGGAACUUCCAGUGGAGCGGUGAAAUGUGUUGAUAUUGGAAGGAACGCCGGUGGCGAAAGCGGCACACUGGGUCUCAACUGACGCUGAGGCACGAAAGCCAGGGUAGCGAACGGGGGAUUAGAUACCCCGGUAGUCCUGGCUGUAAACGAUGAGCACUAGACGGGAGGGGCUUCGGCCCCAUCCGGUCGCAGCGAAAGCAAUAAGUGCUCCGCCUGGGGAGUAUGGUCGCAAGGCUG